rnacentral:lncRNA from 13 species
CACAGAUCAGCUGAGAUGCCCUGCCACAGUUCCCAGCAUGACCAGUAUCUAUCAUAUGGUCGUGUGGGCAGAACUGGAUCCUACCCACUACUUCCUGCUGAACAGAACUCAUUUCCCAGUCUGGCAGUCCAGGCUGGAUCUUUGAAGUGCCAGCACAAAAGACAUCUUGAGCAGCAUCUUGUCAGAGGCGACAUAACUGACUUUUGUCAUCUCUGGAAGUAUUCUUUCACAUUUUACCAAGAUGAUUUCAGGAAAUGUCCAACAGUAGUAGUAACACGAAGGAACAGCUCUGUAAGUUCACUUUGCAAGACUAUGUGAACUGUCUUGGUUUCUUUCAAAUGCCUGUACAUCAUAUACCUGCUGGCAAUAAAGCUGUAAAUUAACAAGGGCUUACAGGUCUAAGAAGAGUUUUUGGACUUUUUACUUCUGAGGUUAUGAUGAUGGCUGCAUCAUAGCUAUUCCACUGCAUUCCAAUUACACUCAUCCCUCAGUGCAGUACGACACUGCACACUGUGCUAACACAGCAUGCCUGGCCAUCGGGCUGGAAACACUACCUGAAAGGACCAUUUUUCAGUGUGCAGAGCCUUCUACUGCUAAGGCACUCAUGCUGUGGCUAGGAGAUGUGAGCCAGCAUCGUGGUUUACAUCUCUGCAAGUUUUCCCUCCAAAAGUGAUGAUUGAACAGUUAAUUUUAGCUGAAAAAAAGUUCAAUAAAGAGUCAAAAAUAAUAAUGACCUUCAUAAAUAAAGCAGCGUGACUGAGAUGAGUAAUAUCUACUGCCUGACUACUGACUAGAUACUCCCAAACUACAAGCUAGCUAGUAAAAGAAAAAUAAAAGCAUAUACAGAACACUGUACAAGAGAGGCUAUCAGAACGAAACGUUUUAACUCUGUGCCACCUGUUUAAAUUGGUUUUGCAACCAUAAGAAUGAAUGGAAGCACCUCCGUAACCCUGGCGCUGGCCUUGCGACGCCAGGGCUGGCCGUGACUCCGCGGGGCGGUGCUGGGCAGCUCGGCCGCAGCCCUCAGUCCGGCCGCACCGCGAGCACUCCCAGGCCGGGGCCGCAGCGC